rnacentral:rRNA from 1 species
GACGAACGCUGGCGGCGUGCUUAACACAUGCAAGUCGAACGAUGAAGCUGGAGCUUGCUCCGGUGGAUUAGUGGCGAACGGGUGAGUAACACGUGAGAAAUCUGCCCUUGACUCUGGGAUAACUGCGGGAAACUGUAGCUAAUACCGGAUACUUUCACUGGAAGGCAUCUUCUGGUGAAGAAAGAAUUUCGGUCAAGGAUGAGCUCGCGGCCUAUCAGCUUGUGGGUGAGGUAACGGCUCACCAAGGCGACGACGGGUAGCCGGCCUGAGAGGGUGACCGGCCACACUGGGACUGAGACACGGCCCAGACUCCUACGGGAGGCAGCAGUGGGGAAUAUUGCACAAUGGGCGCAAGCCUGAUGCAGCAACGCCGCGUGAGGGAUGAAGGCCUUCGGGUUGUAAACCUCUUUUAGCAGGGAAGAAGCGAAAGUGACGGUACCUGCAGAAAAAGCACCGGCUAACUACGUGCCAGCCGCCGCAGUAA